CCCCUUCAGCUCGGCCUCCUUCCGCAUAUCUGGGGCCCGCCCACUUCUCCGGCCGGAAAGCGGCUCUGAGCGGCUGCGCGAGGCGGGGCCAAGAAGGCACCCUGUGGGCGGGGCCCCGGCGGACUCCGCCCCUCCCCGCCCCGCCCCGCCCCGAGGAGCCCAACAGGAAGGGAAAAGCGGGGCGGAACCGGAGGGCGUGGCUGGCCGGAGCGGUGACUACAGUGGAGACGGGAGUGUCCUUUGCAGGAGUUUGAGGUGGGGAUUUCCAGGUUGCGUCAUUUCCCAGCCUGAUCUCCGCGAGAAGUUUGCCCUGGUUGGGUGGAUCAAUUGGUUAGAGGACCAAAGGUUGUGGAUUUGACUUCCAGUCUGGGCACAUACACAAGAUGGCUGGAGCCCAAGCAGCCACAUGAGACUAUGAAUUGGAAGUCACCUAUGGUGGAUAACAAAGCAACAGAAAAGAAGUCUGGAUUCCUGAAGGCUAUGGAGCAAUCAUUUAUUCCUGGACUGUUUACCUCUGGACUUUCUUGAUAUAAGAGAGAAUAAACAUCCUGCUUAAA